rnacentral:rRNA from 1 species
UGACCGCUGGCGGUAGGCCUAACACAUGCAAGUCGAACGGCAGCACAGUAAGAGCUUGCUCUUACGGGUGGCGAGUGGCGGACGGGUGAGGAAUACAUCGGAAUCUACUUUUUCGUGGGGGAUAACGUAGGGAAACUUACGCUAAUACCGCAUACGACCUACGGGUGAAAGCAGGGGAUCUUCGGACCUUGCGCGAUUGAAUGAGCCGAUGUCGGAUUAGCUAGUUGGCGGGGUAAAGGCCCACCAAGGCGACGAUCCGUAGCUGGUCUGAGAGGAUGAUCAGCCACACUGGAACUGAGACACGGUCCAGACUCCUACGGGAGGCAGCAGUGGGGAAUAUUGGACAAUGGGCGCAAGCCUGAUCCAGCCAUACCGCGUGGGUGAAGAAGGCCUUCGGGUUGUAAAGCCCUUUUGUUGGGAAAGAAAAGCAGCAGGCUAAUACCCCGCUGUUCUGACGGUACCCAAAGAAUAAGCACCGGCUAACUUCGUG